rnacentral:rRNA from 1 species
AGAGUUUGAUCCUGGCUCAGGAUGAACGCUGGCGGCGUGCCUAAUACAUGCAAGUCGAGCGAACGGACGAGAAGCUUGCUUCUCUGAUGUUAGCGGCGGACGGGUGAGUAACACGGGGGGAACCCACCUAAAAGACUGGGAUAACUUCGGGAAACCGGAGCUAAUACCGGAUAAUAUUUUGAACCGCAUGGUUCAAAAGUGAAAGACGGUCUUGCUGUCACUUAUAGAUGGAUCCGCGCUGCAUUAGCUAGUUGGUAAGGUAACGGCUUACCAAGGCAACGAUGCAUAGCCGACCUGAGAGGGUGAUCGGCCACACUGGAACUGAGACACGGUCCAGACUCCUACGGGAGGCAGCAGUAGGGAAUCUUCCGCAAUGGGCGAAAGCCUGACGGAGCAACGCCGCGUGAGUGAUGAAGGGCUUCGGAUCGUAAAACUCUGUUAUUAGGGAAGAACAUAUGUGUAAGUAACUGUGCACAUCUUGACGGUACCUAAUCAGAAAGCCACGGCUAACUACGUGCCAGCAGCCGCGGUAAUACGUAGGUGGCAAGCGUUAUCCGGAAUUAUUGGGCGUAAAGCGCGCGUAGGCGGUUUUUUAAGUCUGAUGUGAAAGCCCACGGCUCAACCGUGGAGGGGCAUUGGAAACUGGAAAACUUGAGUGCAGAAGAGGAAAGUGGAAUUCCAUGUGUAGCGGUGAAAUGCGCAGAGAUAUGGAGGAACACCAGUGGCGAAGGCGACUUUCUGGUCUGUAACUGACGCUGAUGUGCGAAAGCGUGGGGAUCAGACAGGAUUAGAUACCCUGGUAGUCCACGCCGUAAACGAUGAGUGCUAAGUGUUAGGGGGUUUCCGCCCCUUAGUGCUGCAGCUAACGCAUUAAGCACUCCGCCUGGGGAGUACGACCGCAAGGUUGAAACUCAAAGGAAUUGACGGGGACCCGCACAAGCGGUGGAGCAUGUGGUUUAAUUCGAAGCAACGCGAAGAACCUUACCAAAUCUUGACAUCCUUUGACAACUCUAGAGAUAGAGCCUUCCCCUUCGGGGGACAAAGUGACAGGUGGUGCAUGGUUGUCGUCAGCUCGUGUCGUGAGAUGUUGGGUUAAGUCCCGCAACGAGCGCAACCCUUAAGCUUAGUUGCCAUCAUUAAGUUGGGCACUCUAAGUUGACUGCCGGUGACAAACCGGAGGAAGGUGGGGAUGACGUCAAAUCAUCAUGCCCCUUAUGAUUUGGGCUACACACGUGCUACAAUGGACAAUACAAAGGGCAGCGAAACCGCGAGGUCAAGCAAAUCCCAUAAAGUUGUUCUCAGUUCGGAUUGUAGUCUGCAACUCGACUACAUGAAGCUGGAAUCGCUAGUAAUCGUAGAUCAGCAUGCUACGGUGAAUACGUUCCCGGGUCUUGUACACACCGCCCGUCACACCACGAGAGUUUGUAACACCCGAAGCCGGUGGAGUAACCUUUUAGGAGCUAGCCGUCGAAGGUGGGACAAAUGAUUGGGGUGAAGUCGUAACAAGGUAGCCGUAUCGGAAGGUGCGGCUGGAUCACCU